UGGGGAAUAUUGCACAAUGGAGGGGACUCUGAUGCAGCGACGCCGCGUGAGUGAUGAAGGAAUUCGUUUCGUAAAACUCUGUUCUAUGGGAAGAAAAGGACUGUACCAUAGGAGAAAGCUCCGGCUAAAUACGUGCCAGCAGCCGCGGUAAUACGUAUGGAGCGAGCGUUGUCCGGAAUUAUUGGGCGUAAAGGGUGCGCAGGCGGCUUUACAAGUUGGAUGUGAAAUAUUGUGGCUCAACCACAAACGUGCAUCCAAAACUGCAAAGCUUGAGUUAAGGAGAGGUAAGUGGAAUUCCUGGUGUAGCGGUGGAAUGCGUAGAUAUCAGGAGGAAUACCGGUGGCGAAGGCGACUUACUGGACUUAAACUGACGCUCAGGCACGAAAGCGUGGGGAGCAAACAGG
rnacentral:rRNA from 1 species